CUCUCCUUCAUCACCCCCUCCGAAAUCGCCUCCGAAUUCUCCCACCACGACCCCACCGUCUCCCGAAUCAACAACGGCAGCUUCGGGUCCUGCCCCGACUCCGUCCUCCAGGCCCAGCGCCGCUGGCAGCUCAAGUACCUCUCCCAGCCCGAUCACUUCUACUUCAACCACCUCCAAGCCGGCAUCCUCCACUCCCGCACCCUCAUCAAGGACCUCAUCAACGCCGACCACGUCGACAACGCCACCACCGCCGCCGCCAUCG
rnacentral:lncRNA from 1 species